rnacentral:rRNA from 1 species
ACACCGGCAUGCUCAGUACGGCGAGUGAAGCGGCAAGAGCUCAAAUUUGAAAGCUGGCUCCUUCGGAGUCCGCAUUGUAAUUUGCAGAGGAUGCUUUGGGUGCGGCCCCCGUCUAAGUGCCCUGGAACGGGCCGUCAGAGAGGGUGAGAAUCCCGUCUUGGGCGGGGUGUCCGUGCCCGUGUAAAGCUCCUUCGACGAGUCGAGUUGUUUGGGAAUGCAGCUCUAAAUGGGUGGUAAAUUUCAUCUAAAGCUAAAUACUGGCCGGAGACCGAUAGCGCACAAGUAGAGUGAUCGAAAGAUGAAAAGCACUUUGAAAAGAGAGUUAAACAGCACGUGAAAUUGUUGAAAGGGAAGCGCUUGCGACCAGACUCGCCCGCGGGGUUCAGCCGGCAUUCGUGCCGGUGUACUUCCCCGUGGGCGGGCCAGCGUCGGUUUGGGCGGCCGGUCAAAGGCCCCUGGAAUGUAGUGCCCUCCGGGGCACCUUAUAGCCAGGGGUGCAAUGCGGCCAGCCUGGACCGAGGAACGCGCUUCGGCACGGACGCUGGCAUAAUGGUCGUAAACGACCCGUCUUGAACCACGGACCAA